CAGAUACUGUAAGCAAUAGGGCUAGUAUAUUCGGUGUAUGGAAGGACUGUAAGGUGUACAUGUCAAACUGGCAGGUGUCAUCUGACCUUGACCUCAUUUUCAUGGUUCAGUGGUUAUAGUUAAAUUUUUGUGUUUUGGUCUGUUUUUCUCAUACUAUAUGCAAUAGGUCUACUAUAUUUGUUGUAUGGAAUGAUUGUAAGGUGUACAUGUCUAGCGGGCAGAUGUCAUGUGACCUUGACCUCAUUUUUAGGUUCAGUGGUAAAAGUUAAGUUUUUGAGUUUUGGUCUUUUUAUCUAAUACUAUAUGCCAUAGGUCAACUAUAUUUGGUGUAUGGAAAUAUUUUAUGAUCUUUAUGUCAGUCGUGCAGGUUUUAUUUGACCGUGACCUCAUUUUCACGGUUCAUUGCACAAUGUUUAGUUUUUGUGUUUGGUCUAUUUUUCUUAAACUAUAAGUAAUAGGUCAACUAUAUAUGUUGUAUAGAAGCAUUGUUAGCUGUACAUGUCUGCCUGGCAUGGUUCAUCUGACCUUGACCUUAUUUUCAAGGUUCAUUGGUCUUUGUUUAGUUAUCUUGGUUAAUGUUAAGUUUAUGUGACAGUUGUAAUAAAGCUUAGCUGUAUACUUAAGACUAUCAACAUAAUAUCAAUGAUUAGUAUAGAAGGCGAGACAUUUCAGCGUGUGCACUCUUGUUAGAUAUAUCGCCUUAUUGUUCUCUGGCUUAUUGUUCGCUAGUUUCAGCCUGGUCCCCCGCAGUAGCUGACGGGUAUUAAGUUUUACCCUUAUACGUCUUUCCCGUAUGUCCAUGCUGUCUGUUCGUUCAGACUGACCAUACUGUCUGUCCGUCCCGUCUGACCGUCCCCUAUUACUA
rnacentral:lncRNA from 1 species